UCAGAUCAGUACUUGGAUGCAAGAUCUACCGAAGACGUGGAUCGAAGUCCUCGUCUAGGGAAUUGCUUAAUCUAGGUAAAUUCAGAGGGAUUGUUUGCCUGCUUCUUUCAACAGAUCUCAUUCACUAGUUGAUCGGGAGGUGCUCUGCUUCUGUCGGAUGAUUUUGUGAUUCUGUCAAGAAGUGCAAGUAAUGCUUGAUUUGCACUAUUAAAUCUAGAGAUGCUUUACCUUGUAUUAAUUAGUAAUGGUGUCUGGGAAUCACCCAAUAGAUUCCUUUUUUAAUUCACUUGACGCCGUGAAGGGUGCUCUUUCACCACUUGAAUCUGGCAUUCGUCGCACUGCGAAGGGUCUAGAGUUGUUCUUGGCGGAUAAUCUCGAACUGUUCCCAGAACUGAAUUUCACUGCCGAGAACAGUAGGGGGGGCUCUUAUUUGAAGAAGAAAGUUGGUGACAGAAAGGAAAGUGUAUCCAUAAAAUUUCCAAUCAAGGUGUUGUUGAGAACGUUUUUCGCCAACUCCGGAGCCAAUGAACGCAGGGUCGUGCUUCUGAAGAAGGGGUCCAAAGAGAAGGUCUCUUGCACUAAUUGCUUGCAGUUUGCAGUUACUUGGCCUUUGUUGCUCAGCAGUUUUGUUCAUGCAUUUCCAAGUCCAUUCAAAAACGGAAGGAAGCGUCUUCAGACUCAGGGUGCUCUAGACAGUUGUUGUUCAGAUGCAUACAAGGAGUCAACAUCAUCAGGGGUAUCUAAACAGAAGGGGAGGGAAUAUGGUAUAGAUGUGACUCAGAUAUUAACAUCGUUUUUUUUUUCUUUGGGAUCCCUCGGUAGGGUUAGUUCAUGCUUCAGGCCUUACUUGAAACUUGAAAUUGGGUAGAGAGAGGGAGAGAUGAAAGUAAUGCGAUCGUUUGUUUUUUGUUUUUGUUUUCUCCCUCGGUAGGGUUAGUUCAUGUUUCAGAAACUCGAAAUUCAUAGGAAUGAAUGGAUUCACAUGUCGAAUCCAACGCAGAGGAGGAACUCGUGUUACUUGAUAGGGUUUGAUCUAUUUUCUGAAGGGGAAAAGAUCCUCGGAUGGUUGGCUCACUCUUGCAUCUGUGAAAGUUGUUAUUCAUAUUCAGCUGAGAUGACGUGGAUUACAUGUGGCAGUGCAUGAAGGAAACGGAUCGGAACGAGGGCUUGCAGGAAAUCGCUCAAUAAACUCAAGAAAACGCUUCGGCCACCGUCCACAGUCCACCGUUACUGGUCUCGACUGAACUAGAGAUGCGGUCCGAUGAAGUUAUACCAUUCAACAAUGAAUGGGAAGGUAGACAUAGAGAUCGCAGAGAACUCGAAUCCAAGCUUGGGUUUUAUUUAUUUAUUUAUUUUUUGGAGGCUAAAUGAGGCUUGGAUGGUUGCUCCCUCUUUUCAUCUGUGAGUGGUUUAAUCAGAUACUUGCUUCUUCACUUAUCCUCUGUCGUUUUAUUUUGUGCACUUUUGCUUCGUAUCAUUUCUUUCUUUUUUUUAGUUACUUUACUAUUGAUAUGUGAACGUCAUUUGGUUGAGAUAAGGCUUUGAGUUGAGUUGAGUAGAUAUAUCUAUAAAUGUAUCUGAUGAAACAUCACCAAGGCGUAAGAGAAAAACCACUAUAUAAAAUUUGGUGGAGAUCUCCCCAAGGGCAUGAGUAGUCUAGCACUCUAGGUGCUUUAUAGAACUCAGAUUUAUAUAUAAAAAUUCAAUGCUUCUUGAGGAUGUCUUGAAGAAAACAAAACACUUCUCAAGUACUAACGCUGACACAGGGCUCUUUCCACCAUUGUUUUUCAUAAUGAUGCUAAAAUAAAUUAUGGCCUAUGCUUCUUUAGGAAAUUUUCC